rnacentral:tRNA from 1 species
GCCAGCGUAGCUCAGUUGGCCAGAGCAGCGCUUUCGUAAAGCGCGGGUCGGGGGUUCGAAUCCUCUCGCUGGCUCCA